rnacentral:rRNA from 1 species
UACGGGGGGGGCAAGCGUUGUUCGGAAUUACUGGGCGUAAAGGGUGCGUAGGCGGCUCUCUAAGUUGGAUGUGAAAACUAUGGGCUCAACCCAUAGCCUGCAUCCAAAACUGGAGAGCUUGGGUUCUGGAGGGGAAAGCGGAAUUCCUGGUGUAGCGGUGAAAUGCGUAGAUAUCAGGAGGAACACCGGUGGCGAAGGCGGCUUUCUGGACAGACACCGACGCUGAGGCACGAAAGCUAGGGGAGCAAACAGG